ensembl:misc_RNA Metazoa_SRP Metazoan signal recognition particle RNA
GCCAGGCAUGGUGGUGCGUGCCUGUAAUCCUAGCUACUCGGGAGGCUGAGGCAGGAGAAUCGCUUGAACUCGGGAGGUGGAGGUGGCAGUGAGCCAAGAUCAUGCCACUGUACUCCAGCCUGGGAGACAGAGUGAGACCCUGUCUCUA